GUUGAACGCUGGCGGCAGGCUUAACACAUGCAAGUCGAGCGAGCGGCGGACGGGUGAGUAAUGUCUGGGAAACUGCCUGAUGGAGGGGGAUAACUACUGGAAACCGUCGCUAAUACCGCAUACCAUCAGAUGAGCCCAGAUGGGAUUAGCUAGUAGGGGGGGUAAUGGCUAGCCUGGGCGACGAUGCCUAGCUGGUCUGAGAGGAUGACCAGCAAAACUGGACUUGAGCCACGGCCCGAAUUCCUAUGGGAGGCAGCAGGGGGAAAUAUUGCACAAGGGGGGCAAGCCUGAUGCAGCCAUGCCGCGGGUGUGAAGCAGGCCUUCGGGUUGUAAGGCACGUUCAGCGAGGAGGCGUUACUCGCAGAAGAAGCACCGGCUAACUCCGUGCCAGCAGCCGCGGUAAUUC
rnacentral:rRNA from 1 species